CCUACGGGUCGCACCAGUGGGGAAUAUUGGACAAUGGGCGAAAGCCUGAUCCAGCAAUGCCGCGUGUGUGAAGAAGGUCUUCGGAUUGUAAAGCACUUUCGACGGGGGCGAUGAUGACGGUACCCGUAGAAGAAGCCCCGGCUAACUUCGUGCCAGCAGCCGCGGUAAUACGAAGGGGGCUAGCGUUGCUCGGAAUGACUGGGCGUAAAGGGCGCGUAGGCGGUUUAUGCAGUCAGAUGUGAAAUCCCCGGGCUUAACCUGGGAACUGCAUUUGAGACGCAUAGACUAGAGGUCGAGAGAGGGUUGUGGAAUUCCCAGUGUAGAGGUGAAAUUCGUGGAUAUUGGGAAGAACACCGGUGGCGAAGGCGGCAACCUGGCUCGGUACUGACGCUGAGGCGCGAAAGCGUGGGGAGCAAACAGGAUUAGAUACCCCGGUAGUC
rnacentral:rRNA from 1 species